GGGGCUGCUCCUAGUACGAGAGGACCGGAGUGGACGCAUCACUGGUGUUCGGGUUGUCAUGCCAAUGGCACUGCCCGGUAGCUAAAUGCGGAAGAGAUAAGUGCUGAAAGCAUCUAAGCACGAAACUUGCCCCGAGAUGAGUUCUCCCUGAGACUUUAAGUCUCCUGAAGGAACGUUGAAGACGACGACGUUGAUAGGCCGGGUGUGUAAGCGCAGCGAUGCGUUGAGCUAACCGGUACUAAUGAACCGUGAGGCUUAACCUUACAACGCCGAAG
rnacentral:rRNA from 1 species